rnacentral:rRNA from 1 species
GCAGUCGAGCGGAUGAAGGGAGCUUGCUCCUGGAUUCAGCGGCGGACGGGUGAGUAAUGCCUAGGAAUCUGCCUGGUAGUGGGGGAUAACGUCCGGAAACGGGCGCUAAUACCGCAUACGUCCUGAGGGAGAAAGUGGGGGAUCUUCGGACCUCACGCUAUCAGAUGAGCCUAGGUCGGAUUAGCUAGUUGGUGGGGUAAAGGCCUACCAAGGCGACGAUCCGUAACUGGUCUGAGAGGAUGAUCAGUCACACUGGAACUGAGACACGGUCCAGACUCCUACGGGAGGCAGCAGUGGGGAAUAUUGGACAAUGGGCGAAAGCCUGAUCCAGCCAUGCCGCGUGUGUGAAGAAGGUCUUCGGAUUGUAAAGCACUUUAAGUUGGGAGGAAGGGCAGUAAGUUAAUACCUUGCUGUUUUGACGUUACCAACAGAAUAAGCACCGGCUAACUUCGUGCCAGCAGCCGCGGUAAUACGAAGGGUGCAAGCGUUAAUCGGAAUUACUGGGCGUAAAGCGCGCGUAGGUGGUUCAGCAAGUUGGAUGUGAAAUCCCCGGGCUCAACCUGGGAACUGCAUCCAAAACUACUGAGCUAGAGUACGGUAGAGGGUGGUGGUAUUUCCUGUGUAGCGGUGAAAUGCGUAGAUAUAGGAAGGAAACACCAGUGGCGAAGGCGACCACCUGGACUGAUACUGACACUGAGGUGCGAAAG